rnacentral:rRNA from 1 species
CAUGCAAGUCGAACGAAGCGCUUAAAUGGAUUUCUUCGGAUUGAAGUUUUUGUGACUGAGUGGCGGACGGGUGAGUAACGCGUGGGUAACCUGCCUCAUACAGGGGGAUAACAGUUAGAAAUGACUGCUAAUACCGCAUAAGCGCACAGUGCUGCAUGGCACAGUGUGGAAAACUCCGGUGGUAUGAGAUGGACCCGCGUCUGAUUAGCUGGUUGGUGGGGUAACGGCCUACCAAGGCGACGAUCAGUAGCCGGCCUGAGAGGGUGAACGGCCACAUUGGGACUGAGACACGGCCCAAACUCCUACGGGAGGCAGCAGUGGGGAAUAUUGCACAAUGGGGGAAACCCUGAUGCAGCGACGCCGCGUGAGCGAAGAAGUAUUUCGGUAUGUAAAGCUCUAUCAGCAGGGAAGAAAAUGACGGUACCUGACUAAGAAGCACCGGCUAAAUACGUGCCAGCAGCCGCGGUAAUACGUAUGGUGCAAGCGUUAUCCGGAUUUACUGGGUGUAAAGGGAGCGUAGACGGUUGUGUAAGUCUGAUGUGAAAGCCCGGGGCUCAACCCCGGGACUGCAUUGGAAACUAUGUAACUAGAGUGUCGGAGAGGUAAGCGGAAUUCCUAGUGUAGCGGUGAAAUGCGUAGAUAUUAGGAGGAGCACCAGUGGCGAAGGCGGCUUACUGGACGAUCACUGACGUUGAGGCUCGAAGGCGUGGGGAGCAAACAGGAUUAGAUACCCUGGUAGUCCACGCCGUAAACGAUGACUACUAGGUGUCGGGGAGCAAAGCUCUUCGGUGCC